rnacentral:rRNA from 1 species
GACGAACGCUGGCGGCGUGCUUAAUACAUGCAAGUCGAACGAAGUGGCGAACGGGUGAGUAACGCGUAAUCAACCUGCCCUUCAGAGGGGGACAACAGUUGGAAACGACUGCUAAUACCGCAUACUGAAGGAGGGGAUUGCGUCUGAUAAGAUAGUUGGAGGGGUAACGGCCCACCAAGGCGAUGAUCAGUAGCCGGGCUGAGAUGAUGAACGGCCAGAUGGUGACUGAGACACGGCCCAGACGCCGACGGGAGGGAGCAGUGGGGAAUCUUCCGUAAUGGACGAAAGUCUGACGGAGAAACGCCGGGUGAGUGAUGACGGCCUUCGGGUUGUAAAGAUCUGUUAAUCGGGACGCGGUACCGGAAUAGAAAGCCACGGCUAACUACGUGCCAGCAGCCGCGGUAAUAC